AGCCUUUGACGCUGGUCGUGG
rnacentral:siRNA from 1 species